rnacentral:rRNA from 1 species
UAGCUAGUUGGUAGGGUAAAGGCCUACCAAGGCGACGAUCGGUAGCUGGUCUGAGAGGAUGACCAGCCACACUGGAACUGGGACGCGGUCCAGACUCCUACGGGAGGCAGCAGUGGGGAAUAUUGGACAAUGGGGGCAACCCUGAUCCAGCAAUGCCGCGUGUGUGAAGAAGGCCUGAGGGUUGUAAAGCACUUUCAGUGGGGAGGAGGAUAUUUUGGUUAAGAGCUGAGAUAUUGGACGUUACCUACAGAAGAAGCACCGGCUAACUCCGUGCCAGCAGCCGCGGUAAUACGGAGGGUGCGAGCGUUAAUCGGAAUUACUGGGCGUAAAGAGUGCGUAGGUGGUUAUUUAAGUUAUCUGUGAAAUCCCUGGGCUCAACCUGGGCAGGUCAGAUAAUACUGGGUGACUCGAGUAUAGGAGAGGGUAGUGGAAUUUCCGGUGUAGCGGUGAAAUGCGUAGAGAUCGGAAGGAACACCAGUGGCGAAGGCGGCUACCUGGCCUGAUACUGACACUGAGGCACGAAAGCGUGGGGAGCAAACAGGAUUAGAUACCCUGGUAGUCCACGCCGUAAACGAUGUCAACUAGCUGUUGGUUAUAUAAAAAUAAUUAGUGGCGC